AGCUUGCUCUCUGGCCUGCUUCCUUAUAGCUGUUUGCUUCCUAUUGCAUCAGAAUCAGUAAGGACACUGUCGUGAGCCAGGGUGGCAUAUGGAAGAAAACAUAUCCUGGAUAUAAUGGAUCAGCGAGAUGGAAAGAGCUGGGUUUCUGGGUGACUUUGUGCAGUGGAGCCCCCUGCUUGUGUCAGACCAUCUGCCUCCUUCUGGAUUCUUAGGUACCAUCCAAGCCCUAGGGAAAUAAGAUGCAGCACCAAGGUACCAAGGAAAAGGGUAGAAGCACUCCGAGUUGACCUGAGAUGAACUUUUCACCACUCUUGAAGAAUGAGGACUUGAACUAGUGAUCACUUUCAGUUCUAGAAAAAUAAGGUGGCCGGGUGAGGUGGCUCAUGCCUGUACUCCCAGUGCUUUGGGAGGCCGAGGUGGGCGGAUCACGAGAUCAGGAGUUUGAGACUAGCCCGGCCAACAUGGUGAAACCUCGUCUCUACUAAAAAUACAAAAAAUUAGCUGGGCAAGGUGGUGGGCACCUGUAAUCCCAGCUGCUCAGGAGGCUGAGGCAGGAGAAUUGCUUGAACCCGGGAGGCAGAGGUUGCAGUGAGCCGAGAUCACGCCAUUGCACUCCAGCCUGGGCGACAGUGCGAGGCUCUCAAAACAAACAAACAAAAAAAAAUGCACAAAAAACAAAAAUAAGAUUACAUCUCUUAAGUCUCUAAAUUGGGAACUGAAAUUCACACCUGCAACAUCUUUAAUGAUCCAAUGGAAAGAAGUCCAAACUCCUUGACCAGGGUUUGACAAAUUAUGGCCCACGGGCCAAAUUUGGUUGGCUGCCUGUUUUUGUUAUUAAAGAGUUUUUGGAAUACUGCCAUGCCCAUUUGCGUAUGUAUUGCCUCUGGCUAUUUUUGUACUGCAGCAUCAGGGUUGAGUUAUUGUGACAGAGACACUAGAGCCUGCAAAACCAAAAAGAUUUAUUAUCUGAUCCACUUUAGAAGAAAUUUGCCAACCUUUGUCCUAGAUCAAGUUUUCAAGACCGUCCACAAUUUAAGACCAUUUUUUUUUUUUUUGAGACGAAGUGUUGCUCUUGUCGCCCAGGCUGAAGUACAAUGGCACGAUCUCGGCUCACUGCAACCUCCGCCUCCUGGGUUCAAGCAAUUCUCCUGCCUCAGCCUCCUGCAUAGCUGGGAUUGCAGGUACACACCACCAUAUCCGACUAAUUUUUAUAUUUUUAGUAGAAACGGGGUUUCACCAUGUUGGCCAGGCUGGUCUCGAACUCCUGACCUCGUAAUCCACCUGCCUCAGCCUCCCAAAGUGCCGGGCAUGAGCCACCACGCCCGGCCUAAGACCAGUUUUUAAAACAUAUACUCUGCCACUCUACCACAUAAACUUUCCAAGGUACUAAAACCA
rnacentral:lncRNA from 1 species